UGGGGAAUAUUGCACAAUGGGCGCAAGCCUGAUGCAGCCAUGCCGCGUGUGUGAAGAAGGCCUUCGGGUUGUAAAGCACUUUCAGCGGGGAGGAAGGCGGUGAGGUUAAUAACCUCAUCGAUUGACGUUACCCGCAGAAGAAGCACCGGCUAACUCCGUGCCAGCAGCCGCGGUAAUACGGAGGGUGCAAGCGUUAAUCGGAAUUACUGGGCGUAAAGCGCACGCAGGCGGUCUGUCAAGUCGGAUGUGAAAUCCCCGGGCUCAACCUGGGAACUGCAUUCGAAACUGGCAGGCUAGAGUCUUGUAGAGGGGGGUAGAAUUCCAGGUGUAGCGGUGAAAUGCGUAGAGAUCUGGAGGAAUACCGGUGGCGAAGGCGGCCCCCUGGACAAAGACUGACGCUCAGGUGCGAAAGCGUGGGGAGCAAACAGG
rnacentral:rRNA from 2 species